UAGGGAAUCUUCCACAAUGGGCGCAAGCCUGAUGGAGCAACGCCGCGUGAGUGAAGAAGGGUUUCGGCUCGUAAAGCUCUGUUGUUGGAGAAGAACGUGUGUGAGAGUAACUGUUCACGCAGUGACGGUAUGGAACCGGAAAGCCACGGCNNNCCACGNG
rnacentral:rRNA from 1 species